rnacentral:rRNA from 1 species
CACGUAGGGACCAAGCGUUGUCCGGAUUCAUUGGGCGUAAAGAGCUCGUAGGCGGUUCGAUAAGUCGGGUGUGAAACCUCCAGGCUCAACCUGGAGACGCCACCCGAUACUGUCGUGACUAGAGUCCAGUAGGGGAGCGUGGAAUUCCUAGUGUAGCGGUGAAAUGCGCAGAUAUCAGGAGGAACACCGAUGGCGAAGGCAGGUCUCUGGGCAUUAACUGACGCUGAGGAGCGAAAGCAUGGGGAGCGAACAGG